rnacentral:rRNA from 1 species
AGGGCGGGACACGUGGUAUCCUGUCUGAAUAUGGGGGGACCAUCCUCCAAGGCUAAAUACUCCUGACUGACCGAUAGUGAACCAGUACCGUGAGGGAAAGGCGAAAAGAACCCCGGCGAGGGGAGUGAAAAAGAACCUGAAACCGUGUACGUACAAGCAGUGGGAGCACAGAGCAAUCUGUGUGACUGCGUACCUUUUGUAUAAUGGGUCAGCGACUUAUAUUCUGUAGCAAGGUUAACCGAAUAGGGGAGCCGAAGGGAAACCGAGUCUUAACUGGGCGUUAAGUUGCAGGGUAUAGACCCGAAACCCGGUGAUCUAGCCAUGGGCAGGUUGAAGGUUGGGUAACACUAACUGGAGGACCGAACCGACUAAUGUUGAAAAAUUAGCGGAUGACUUGUGGCUGGGGGUGAAAGGCCAAUCAAACCGGGAGAUAGCUGGUUCUCCCCGAAAGCUAUUUAGGUAGCGCCUCGUGAAUUCAUCUCCGGGGGUAGAGCACUGUUUCGGCAAGGGGGUCAUCCCGACUUACCAACCCGAUGCAAACUGCGAAUACCGGAGAAUGUUAUCACGGGAGACACACGGCGGGUGCUAACGUCCGUCGUGAAGAGGGAAACAACCCAGACCGCCAGCUAAGGUCCCAAAGUCAUGGUUAAGUGGGAAACGAUGUGGGAAGGCCCAGACAGCCAGGAUGUUGGCUUAGAAGCAGCCAUCAUUUAAAGAAAGCGUAAUAGCUCACUGGUCGAGUCGGCCUGCGCGGAAGAUGUAACGGGGCUAAACCAUG